rnacentral:tRNA from 1 species
ACUUUUAGAGUUUUAUAAUGAUAAUUUGUGGAAUUAUAGAUUGAAGAGUA